UACGGAGGGUGCGAGCGUUGUCCGGAAUCAUUGGGCGUAAAGGGCGCGUAGGUGGCCCAGCAAGCGUGCGGUGAAAGCUCGGGGCUCAACCCCGAGUCGGCCGUGCGAACUGCUGGGCUGGAGCACUGUAGAGGCAGGCGGAAUUCCGGGUGUAGCGGUGGAAUGCGCAGAUAUCAGGAAGAACACCCGUGGCGAAGGCGGCUCUCUGGGACGGUACUGACGCUGAGACGCGAAAGCGUGGGGAGCAAACAGG
rnacentral:rRNA from 1 species